GUCUACAGCUGUAUCCCCUGAACGUGCCCAGUCUUGUCUGAUCUUGGAAGCUAAUCAGGGUCCAGCCUGGUUAGUAGGUGGAUGGAAGACUGCUAGGGAAUAUGGGAUACUAUAGGCU
ensembl:rRNA 5S_rRNA 5S ribosomal RNA